AUAAUUUCUGUACCCUCCAAGUAAAAUGUGAAGUUUGAAGUUACAAUACUAGAAGAAAAAAAUAAAGGAAUUGAUUGAAGAAGGGAGUGUGACCAGUACCCUGACGGAAAGUGAUUGCAUACUUGUAGAAUUCGUGGUCUUCAGGGCAAGAAGAGCUGGAUGACAAAGAGCAGAUUCUGAGGCUACAAAACUUCGCUGUGAUCCUUGUUCCAGUCCACCUAUUGAAAUCUUUUAUCAGCUACAAAUAUAGGUAAUGCCCAGAGUCUCACAGUUUUGCCGGUGCCUGUCUUCAUCUUGGAAAAUCGCUUCCUCUGUGAGCUAUUCCUGUAGCAAAUCUUUGGCCUCUCUCAGCA